CACGUAGGGUGCGAGCGUUGUCCGGAAUUAUUGGGCGUAAAGAGCUCGUAGGCGGUGUGUCGCGUCGGCCGUGAAAACCUGCAGCUUAACUGUGGGCUUGCGGUCGAUACGGGCAUCACUGGAGUUCGGCAGGGGAGACUGGAAUUCCUGGUGUAGCGGUGAAAUGCGCAGAUAUCAGGAGGAACACUGGUGGCGAAGGCGGGUCUCUGGGCCGAUACUGACGCUGAGGAGCGAAAGCGUGGGUAGCAAACAGG
rnacentral:rRNA from 1 species